AAAUCGUACCCCAAACCGACACAGGUGGUCAGGUAGAGAAUACCAAGGCGCUUGAGAGAACUCGGGUGAAGGAACUAGGCAAAAUGGUGCCGUAACUUCGGGAGAAGGCACGCUGACACGUAGGUGAAGUGAUUUACUCAUGGAGCUGAAGUCAGUCGAAGAUACCAGCUGGCUGCAACUGUUUAUUAAAAACACAGCACUGUGCAAACACGAAAGUGGACGUAUACGGUGUGACGCCUGCCCGGUGCCGGAAGGUUAAUUGAUGGGGUCAGCGCAAGCGAAGCUCCUGAUCGAAGCCCCGGUAAACGGCGGCCGUAACUAUAACGGUCCUAAGGUAGCGAAAUUCCUUGUCGGGUAAGUUCCGACCUGCACGAAUGGCGUAAUGAUGGCCAGGCUGUCUCCACCCGAGACUCAGUGAAAUUGAACUCGCUGUGAAGAUGCAGUGUACCCGCGGCAAGACGGAAAGACCCCGUGAACCUUUACUAUAGCUUGACACUGAACAUUGAGCCUUGAUGUGUAGGAUAGGUGGGAGGCUUUGAAGUGUGGACGCCAGUCUGCAUGGAGCCAACCUUGAAAUACCACCCUUUAAUGUUUGAUGUUCUAACGUGGACCCGUUACCCGGGUUGCGGACAGUGUCUGGUGGGUAGUUUGACUGGGGCGGUCUCCUCCUAAAGAGUAACGGAGGAGCACGAAGGUUGGCUAAUCCUGGUCGGACAUCAGGAGGUUAGUGCAAUGGCAUAAGCCAGCUUGACUGCGAGCGUGACGGCGCGAGCAGGUGCGAAAGCAGGUCAUAGUGAUCCGGUGGUUCUGAAUGGAAGGGCCAUCGCUCAACGGAUAAAAGGUACUCCGGGGAUAACAGGCUGAUACCGCCCAAGAGUUCAUAUCGACGGCGGUGUUUGGCACCUCGAUGUCGGCUCAUCACAUCCUGGGGCUGAAGUAGGUCCCAAGGGUAUGGCUGUUCGCCAUUUAAAGUGGUACGCGAGCUGGGUUUAGAACGUCGUGAGACAGUUCGGUCCCUAUCUGCCGUGGGCGCUGGAGAACUGAGGGGGGCUGCUCCUAGUACGAGAGGACCGGAGUGGACGCAUCACUGGUGUUCGGGUUGUCAUGCCAAUGGCACUGCCCGGUAGCUAAAUGCGGAAGAGAUAAGUGCUGAAAGCAUCUAAGCACGAAACUUGCCCCGAGAUGAGUUCUCCCUGAGACUUNGUCUCCUGAAGGAACGUUGAAGACGACGACGUUGAUAGGCCGGGUGUGUAAGCGCAGCGAUGCGUUGAGCUAACCGGUACUAAUGAACCGUGAGGCUUAACCUU
rnacentral:rRNA from 1 species